GAUGAACGCUGGCGGCGUGCUUAACACAUGCAAGUCGAACGGAAAGGCCCAAGCUUGCUUGGGUACUCGAGUGGCGAACGGGUGAGUAACACGUGGGUGAUCUGCCCUGCACUUCGGGAUAAGCCUGGGAAACUGGGUCUAAUACCGGAUAGGGCGAUGGUUUGGAUGCCAUUGUGGAAAGUUUUUUCGGUGUGGGAUGAGCUCGCGGCCUAUCAGCUUGUUGGUGGGGUAAUGGCCUACCAAGGCGUCGACGGGUAGCCGGCCUGAGAGGGUGUACGGCCACAUUGGGACUGAGAUACGGCCCAGACUCCUACGGGAGGCAGCAGUGGGGAAUAUUGCACAAUGGGCGCAAGCCUGAUGCAGCGACGCCGCGUGGGGGAUGACGGCCUUCGGGUUGUAAACUCCUUUCGCUAGGGACGAAGCGUUUUUGUGACGGUACCUGGAGAAGAAGCACCGGCUAACUACGUG
rnacentral:rRNA from 1 species